rnacentral:sRNA from 1 species
AUGGCUGUCGUCAGCUCGUGUCGUGAGAUGUUGGGUUAAGUCCCGCAACGAGCGCAACCCUUAUUUCAUGUUGCCAGCGCGUAAUGGCGGGGACUCGUGAGAGACUGCCGGUGACAAACCGGAGGAAGGUGGGGAUGACGUCAAGUCAUCAUGCCCCUUAUGUCCAGGGCUACACACGUGCUACAUUGGCGCGUACAGAGGGUUGCGAUACCGCGAGGUGGAGCGAAUCCCUUAAAGCGCGUCUCGGUUCGGAUUGCAGGCUGAAACUCGCCUGCAUGAAGGCGGAGUUGCUAGUAAUCGCGGAUCAGCACUGCCGCGGUGAAUACGUUCCCGGGCCUUGUACACACCGCCCGUCACACCAUGGGAGUGAGCAACACCCGAAGCCGGUUGCCUAACCCGCAAGGGAGGGUGCCGUCGAAGGUGGGGCUCGCGACUGGGGUGAAGUCGUAACAAGGUAGCCGUAGCGGAAGCUGCGGCUGGAUCACCUCCUUUCUAGGGAGCCCUCAUCAAGGGCACCGAUCGCCAGUGAGGAUCGCCGUUUGAGCUCUCGAGCUCCGCGGCGCUCUCCUCGAGCGCGAUCGGCCACUAGACAUGUCGACCGAACCUGCCGUAAAUCGCCCUGAGGGCGAUUUACGGUCGAGAGAAAUCUGCCCUUGCAGCGGUGGAAACGCCGGUGCGUUCGGGUGCAGAUUUCUCUCAAUCUAAUCCGCGCUAGCGGAUUAGACCGCGUGCUGUUGAGUUUUGAGAGACCGGCCCGUUGCCGGCCUGCCCGCUGGACGAGGUCCCGGGCUUGUCUGCGGCGGGUUAUGCCUCUUCGCGGUCCUUGAAAACUGCACAGUAGCCAAUGAAACGGGUAAUACGUAAUGGCCCCCGUGGCCAUCACGUAUCUGAAGAAAUCUUCGAUUUCUUCGACGAAAUCUCCGUAAGAGAUUCCGCUCGAUCAACCGUCAAGAUAGUAAGGGCACAUGGUGGAUGCCUUGGCACCAAGAGUCGAUGAAGGGCGUGAACGGCUGCGAUAAGCCGCGGUUAGGCGCUGAAUAGCCAGUGACCCGCGGAUGCCCGAAUGGGGAAACCCGG